CCUACGGGCGGCAGCAGUGGGGGAUAUUGCACAAUGGGGGGAACCCUGAUGCAGCGACGCCGCGUGGGUGAAGGAGUGCUUCGGCAUGUAAAGCCCUAUCGGCAGGGAAGAAGCAAGACGGUACCUGACUAAGAAGCCCCGGCUAACUACGUGCCAGCAGCCGCGGUAAUACGUAGGGGGCGAGCGUUAUCCGGAUUCACUGGGUGUAAAGGGAGCGUAGACGGCCAUGCAAGCCAGGGGUGAAAGCCCGGGGCCCAACCCCGGGACUGCCCUGGGAACGGGGCGGUUAGGGGGCGGGAGGGGAAGGCGAAAUUCCGGUGUAGCGGUGAAAUGCGUAGAUAUCAGGAGGAACACCGGCGGCGAAGGCGGCCUGCUGGACCGCGACUGACGUUGAGGCUCGAAAGCGUGGGGAGCGAACAGGAUUAGAUACCCGGGUAGUC
rnacentral:rRNA from 1 species